rnacentral:rRNA from 1 species
GACGAACCGUGCGAACGUUAUUCGGAAUCACUGGGCUUAAAGCGCGUGUAGGCGGGGCGGCACGUCGGUCGCUGAAAGCCCCCGGCUCAACCGGGGAACGGGCGCCGAUACGACCGCCCUCGAGGGACGUAGGGGGACCUGGAACUUCCGGUGGAGCGGUGAAAUGCGUUGAGAUCGGAAGGAACGCCCGUGGCGAAAGCGAGGUCCUGGACGUCCGCUGACGCUGAGACGCGAAAGCCAGGGGAGCGAA